CAGAAGCAUCAGAGUAGCCUGGGGACCCCAUUCGCAGCUACUGCCUGACGUUAAGGUCCCUCUAAAUAGAAAACUUAAAAUCUGGAUCAUUAAGACAGGAGUGGGAAAGACAGCUCCAUCGAGAGUCUGCUAUGAAGACAUGGGGACCUGUGUAUAGAUUUGCAGCACCUGCAGGAAUCCAGAUCCAGCAGCUGCAUCUGUAAAUAAAGUGCAGGGAUUCAUACAUCGUGUUGUUGGUCUUAUUCUGAUAUUACUAGAUUACUAAUCUUACAAGUUCUUGGCAAUGUCAUUCCACCACGGGAAAAGGAUUUCAUGAGACUCUAUGCCUAGUUGUUGCUGUGAUUCUAGUGCCUAUGUCUUUCCUGGAUAUGGGUAAAAGGAUUUCAAAAGGGAAGAAAAAAGAAGGAACCAAAAGAGAAUAUUUAAAUGAGCAGAGAAGGGGUGUGUCGUCCCCAUAAGUGUUAACCGAACAAGGAGAAAAACUCUUUCCCAUUUGUACAUAUAAGUACAUUGUAUCGAUCAAAAGAUAUAUCACACAUUACAAAGCUAAUGGACAGAAAUGGAGGAACUAUACUCAGGUAAGGAUAUUAAAUUGCAUUAUUAAAUUCAGUAGGUGAUUUAAAAUAUUUAUAAUCUUUGAAGGAAAGUAAAAAGGUAUAAAAAUUAACUAUUCUCUUCUUAAAGUAUGAGCUGUUAAUUAAUGCAUAAUAUAAAUGUAAGAGCAUCUAUGUAAAAAUAAUGCUACUAAGUGAGAGGUGCCCGAGACAGACACUCCUCUGAAGGCAUUUCUCUAGGGAUGACGUGAUCCUGCUGAAACUGCACACAUUGGUCACAAAAGUGCCUUUGUGUGGCUAGGGGGAAAUGAAUAUCUUUUGGAAUUAAUGUUUAAUUUCAGAGUUACAAAACGCCCCUAAUCAUCCUUUAAAAAAGAAAAGAAAAACAGUACUUCUAUCUUGCAACUUUGACAUUUUUAAGCACCUUAAGUCAAUAGAAAACCUAACUAGAGAGCUGUUAAUAAUUGGUCACGUGUCCAGUGAGAUGCUCUCUGUCCCUCCUGUGCCCAGUCAUGAGUCACACCCAGAGUAUAUACAAGCUUGAGUAAUGGAGUGAGGUUUUCAGUUCUUCUGAUCUUACCACACUCCUUAUUGUCUUUCUUUUAAUAGAAUGGAGAUAGAACGUAAAAAUAGCAUUACCUAAGCCGUCCCAAUCAGAAAAGAAAAUUGUAUAUAAGGCCACAUUGCUUUCUCCUGAACAUGUGGGAGAGAUGAUCACAUCAUCUAGGUUUGAUGAGCAACUGGCAGUAGCUGAAUCCUUCACUGAUGGCGCACUCCUUACUCGUGAGCAAGAAGCCCAUCACCAACAGUAACAGAGGACACAGCAGCAAUAUGGCGUCUUGCAACCCUUUGUGCUUACACAGCAUCCUUUGUUAGGACUUUCUCUGUGAAUCUGAGUUAACUAAGGGGGAAAAAGCAAUCUAGAUGGUGAAGGUAAUGUCAGAGACUCGAGUUUAUGAACACAGCAAUGUUAAUUCUGUAGCUAAUUUGUAUGAAGGAGAAUGCAUGGAUAACGGGAAAGAAAAUAGCUUGAUGCAGAAAGACGGCUCAGUAUCUAAGAGCGAUUGCUAUUCUUCCAGAGGAUCCAGGCUUUGAUCCUAGAACUCAAGUAAUAGUUUGUGACCGUCUGUAACUCCGGUUCCAGGGAAUCUAACACCUUCUUCUGGCCUCUAUGGGCCCCAGGCACGCACAGACAGAUGCAUCCAGGCAAAACAUCCAAGCACAUAAGACAAUUUUUUUCAAAAAGAUGAGAGACCUCGGAGGGGUCAUGUUUCCUUGUGUCUCAGAUCCCAUACAACACUCGGGUCUAAUGGCGGAGAGCUGAGACUUGUAAGCUUGGUCUGACUUUCAAGACGGCUCUCCUGAGAAGCUGACUGUCUAGGUGAUGAAUGCUGCAUAUUGCAAUAAAAUAAAAGCAUUUGGGAUUAAAAGCAAUGAAUGCACCAUCGAUUUCGUCGGUUUGGCUGUUGCCUUGGUGGAAGAAUAGGACAGAGGUGCUCUCCCUCACCUUCAUCCAGACAUAGGUGUUACCUGCACCUGUCCACUAGCUCAUCCUUCACAGGCUGCAAUUAAUUCAUGUUAUACAACUACCCUUAGUAAGCUGGAGUUACAGGAAAGAGAAUGCUACAUCGCUUCUUACAAACUAGUAUUUGGGGU
rnacentral:sRNA from 1 species